ACCUGACUGGCUCAGUCAGACGAGCAUGGGGCUCCUGACCUUGGGGUCAUGAGUUCAAGCCCCACGUCAGGUG
rnacentral:tRNA from 1 species